AUCCUUUUGUAGUUCAUAAGUGUGAUGAUUGGGUCUUCAAACCAUUGUGUGACAUGUGCCGCCCUCAAACCUUGUUACAACCUUGGCACAUUACCUGUCUGAUG
ensembl:snoRNA